rnacentral:misc_RNA from 1 species
UGAAGAAAGAUGGUAAGCGUAAAUAUAACUGAUAAAAGUAAUGACUUAGUAUAAACCACCAAAAUCUUAGAAACCAAGUACAAAUCGUGUUAGCCAUUUUAUCGAUGGUACAUUAUAUAGUUUCAUAUACGAAACAUUCGAUUUAUCGUUAAAAUCUUUCACAUACUAUUUUCUUUAAUUAUACUAAUAUUACACGUUGUAUUUGUAGUACCAUUUAAUUAAGAAAAUUCUAGCCGAUCGAACAAAUAAAAAAUUUCAUUUCGGAUAUUCACUCGAUAAAAUUUGUUUAAAACGAAUAAAAUUUCAUCACUCGCGUACCAGCGCGUACUCAAUAUCAAUCUGAUGUUUCCAAUUGUUUUAAAAUCUGUUGCGUGAUCAAUUUAGUAGCCUCACUCGCAUUAGGAAUAAGAAAUUUAUCCAUAUCUGAAAUAACCGUAUCGUUAUAUUCCGUUGUACCGUAUUUAAAUGUAAUCAAAUCCGAGUGUUUCCUUCUAGAUGUUAUUUUUAUGACACUCGUCAACGGACGUUUUACAAUUACAUGUGCUGCACCUUUCCUUUCUUGUAUUUCCCGAAGUACUAUAAGGGCUUGUUUCAUUCGAAUUUGUCUCCGAAAUAUUAGCACUGCAUACUAAACAGUGCUGUGAAUUAUGAUCAACAAGACUAGAAACGACUUCAUCACCAAAGUAUUCGUGUAUGGCUGAAAUAAUACGGCAAAAUAAUUAUUUUGAAUCAAAUAUUUUAAAUGAAUAUAAUAUAAUAACUACCUUGAUAUCCUGAUGUGACCAUACUAACAUAUUGGGUAUGUUUCUGUAAAAAAG